CAUAAUACAUAAGUACAUUUUGGCAUCCUGUUUAAAUUUACUCAAACACAGUGAUACAUCUUUUUCCUCCCUCCGGCAAAUACCAGGCUUCUCCAUCGAGGUAUCGACUGAUUUUUUCACUCUAAAUCUUCAAUUUCAUAAUAUGAUUCAUCUCCAAAAUUCUCUAUUAAAAAUUCGCAAUUUGAAAAAGAAAAAACAGAGCUUUUAAGCUGUUCGAUAAAAUGUCACAGUGAAUUUUGUUGGAUAUAGUUUGAUAUAAAUCAAGCGUUUUUUUAAUUUCAUCAACAUAUGUUAAAAGCGUGACACACCAUAGUCUACAUCCUGUAUCCGCCACUGGAUUAGAGGACAGGAGAUAACGACGUGUAGCUUUUACAGGCAUGAAUGAUCAGGCCCGAUACAAGUCAUUCUAGAUUUUAGAACAAGUGGCCACUGCUGCGUGCCUGCGUCCAUGCGAAGUGGUAGCAAUGAACCAAAUGCUUGUCAAGACUGAAGAUACUAUGGGAAUAAAUUGCAAAUAAUUUGAGUUGCAUAGAAAUUGAAAGGAACUGGAGUUGAUAAUAUUGAAAUGAGCAAGUUGAUUAAAGAUGGUCAUCUUGAAAAUAGCUUUUCAGUUAGAGGUAUUUCAGGCGCAAUUUGAGCUCGGAAACUUGAGCCUACAUUUUCAGUCAAAUUGUUCGGCGCAUCAUUUAGCAGGGGAAAAAAAAAAUUGUUCGGCG
rnacentral:lncRNA from 1 species